rnacentral:sRNA from 1 species
UGAUCAUCAGGAGUAAAAAGCACCAGAAGCUCAAGCACCAGAAAGAGGCUGAGGAGGAGGAGCUGGAGAUACCCCCUCAGUACCAAGCUGGAGGCUCUGGCAUUCAUCGCCCUGUGGCCAAGAAGGCUAUGCCUGGGGCCGAAUACAAGGCCAAGGUAAGUGCUGCAUGUAGGGCAUGGGGUCUCCUGGCACUGGACAGGUGCCAGGGAGGGGCAAGGAGGAGCUGUGCCCAUCACUGUCCUGAGAGGCACCUUCCUGGAACUCAACUGAGGCCAGGAAAGAAGAAGGGGUUCAGAUGCUAAGACCUUGUGGCAUCUGAAAUGGGGGACCUUAUUGAAUGGCCUUCCAAGGAUACAGGAGCUCUUUGGCACCACCUAAGGCAGAGGAUGAAGGGAGGUUAUGGGGCCUGUCAAGUCUAGGGCAGGGACAGAAGGGGAACCCCACCCUCCUAGCUGACUCUGUUUCUCUGGGCGAGCAGAAAGCAAAAGGUGAUGUGAAGAAGAAAGGCCGGCUGGAUCCCUAUGCCUACAUCCCCCUCAACAGAAGCAAGCUCAACCGCAGGAAGAAGAUGAAGCUGCAGGGACAGUUCAAAGGCCUGGUGAAGGCUGCCCGGCGAGGUUCCCAGGUGGGACACAAAAACCGCAGAAAGGAU